GUAGGUGGCAAGCGUUGUCCGGAAUUAUUGGGCGUAAAGCGCGCGCAGGCGGUUCUUUAAGUCUGAUGUGAAAGCCCACGGCUCAACCGUGGAGGGUCAUUGGAAACUGGAGAACUUGAGUACAGAAGAGGAAAGCGGAAUUCCACGUGUAGCGGUGAAAUGCGUAGAGAUGUGGAGGAACACCAGUGGCGAAGGCGGCUUUCUGGUCUGUAACUGACGCUGAGGCGCGAAAGCGUGGGGAGCAAACAGGAUUAGAUACCCUGGUAGUCCACGCCGUAAACGAUGAGUGCUAAGUGUUAGUGGGUUUCCGCCCCUUAGUGCUGCAGCUAACGCAUUAAGCACUCCCGCCUGGGAGUACGGCCGCAAGGCUG
rnacentral:rRNA from 1 species